rnacentral:rRNA from 1 species
GAUGAACGCUGGCGGCGUGCUUAACACAUGCAAGUCGAACGGUGAAGCAGGAGCUUGCUCCUGUGGAUCAGUGGCGAACGGGUGAGUAACACGUGAGCAAUCUGCCCUGGACUCUGGGAUAAGCGUUGGAAACGACGUCUAAUACCGGAUACGAGGCGUGGGGGCAUCCCCAACGCCUGGAAAGAACUUCGGUCCAGGAUGAGCUCGCGGCCUAUCAGGUAGUUGGUGAGGUAACGGCUCACCAAGCCUACGACGGGUAGCCGGCCUGAGAGGGUGACCGGCCACGCUGGGACUGAGACACGGCCCAGACUCCUACGGGAGGCAGCAGUGGGGAAUAUUGCACAAUGGGCGCAAGCCUGAUGCGGCAACGCCGCGUGAGGGACGACGGCCUUCGGGUUGUAAACCUCUUUUAGUAGGGAAGAAGCGAAAGUGACGGUACCUGCAGAAAAAGCACCGGCUAACUACGUGCCAGCAGCCGCAGUAACAC